rnacentral:rRNA from 1 species
GACGAACGCUGGCGGCGUGGAUUAGGCAUGCAAGUCGAACGGUAUCAUCCUUUCGGGGGUGAGAGAGUGGCGAACUGGUGAGUAACACGUAGGUUAUCUACCCUCAAGACGGGGACAACCCAGGGAAACUUGGGCUAAUACCGGAUGUGAGCAACUUUUAGUUGUUUGAAAGGUGGCGUAAGCUGUCGCUUGGGGAUGAGCCUGCGUCCUAUUAGUUAGUUGGUGAGGUAACGGCUCACCUAGGCAAUGAUAGGUAGGCGGCCUUAACGGGUGGUCGCCCACACUGGGAUUGAGAUACGGCCCAGACUCCUACGGGAGGCAGCAGUCGAGAAUAGUCUACAAUGGUCGGAAGACUGAUAGUGCGACGCCGCGUGAACGAUGAAUCCCUUCGGGGUGUAAAGUUCUUUUAUAUGUGAGCAGUGCUUCUUAUAUUAACAGUAUGGGGAGAGAGAUAUUAGCAUAUGAAUAAGCAACGGCUAACUCCGUGCCAGCAGCCGCGGUAUCA